rnacentral:rRNA from 1 species
CCUACGGGGGGCUGCAGUGGGGAAUAUUGCGCAAUGGGGGAAACUCUGACGCAGCAACGCCGCGUGAGUGAAGACGUAUCUCGGUAUGUAAAGCUCUAUCAGCGGGGAAGAAGGAAGACGGUACCCGACUAAGAAGCCCCGGCUAACUACGUGCCAGCAGCCGCGGUAAUACGUAGGGGGCGAGCGUUAUCCGGAUUUACUGGGUGUAAAGGGAGCGUAGACGGCGUCGCAAGUCUGAAGUGAAAGCCCGUGGCCCAACCCCGGGACUGCCCUUGGAACUGCAUGGCUGGAGUGCGGGAGGGGCAGGCGGAAUUCCUGGUGUAGCGGUGAAAUGCGUAGAUAUCAGGAGGAACACCGGCGGCGAAGGCGGCCUGCUGGACCGCGACUGACGUUGAGGCUCGAAAGCGUGGGGAGCGAACAGGAUUAGAUACCCGUGUAGUC